rnacentral:rRNA from 1 species
UACGGGGGGGGCAAGCGUUGUUCGGAAUUACUGGGCGUAAAGGGCGCGUAGGCGGCCUGCUAAGUCGGAUGUGAAAUCCCUCGGCUCAACCGAGGAACUGCGCCCGAUACUGUCGUGCUAGAGUGCGGAAGGGGCUACUGGAAUUCUCGGUGUAGCGGUGAAAUGCGUAGAUAUCGAGAGGAACACCUGCGGCGAAGGCGGGUAGCUGGGCCGACACUGACGCUGAGGCGCGAAAGCCAGGGGAGCGAACGGG